rnacentral:tRNA from 1 species
GCGGCCAUGGUGGAACUGGUAGACACGCCAGCUUGAGGUGCUGGUGGCGAGAGCCAUGGAAGUUCAAGUCUUCUUGGCCGCA